GACGAACGCUGGCGGCGUGCUUAACACAUGCAAGUCGAACGGAAAGGCCCUGCUUUUGUGGGGUGCUCGAGUGGCGAACGGGUGAGUAACACGUGAGUAACCUGCCCUUGACUUUGGGAUAACUUCAGGAAACUGGGGCUAAUACCGGAUAGGAGCUCCUGCUGCAUGGUGAGGGUUGGAAAGUUUCGGCGGUUGGGGAUGGACUCGCGGCUUAUCAGCUUGUUGGUGGGGGAGUGGCUUACCAAGGCUUUGACGGGUAGCCGGCCUGAGAGGGUGACCGGCCACAUUGGGACUGAGAUACGGCCCAGACUCCUACGGGAGGCAGCAGUGGGGAGUAUUGCACAAUGGGCGGAAGCCUGAUGCAGCAACGCCGCGUGCGGGAUGACGGCCUUCGGGUUGUAAACCGCUUUCGCCUGUGACGAAGCGUGAGUGACGGUAAUGGGUAAAGAAGCACCGGCUAACUACGUG
rnacentral:rRNA from 1 species